rnacentral:rRNA from 1 species
CCUACGGGUGGCAGCAGUGAGGAAUAUUGGUCAAUGGACGAGAGUCUGAACCAGCCAAGUAGCGUGAAGGAUGACUGCCCUAUGGGUUGUAAACUUCUUUUAUAUGGGAAUAAAACGUUCCACGUGUGGGAUUUUGUAUGUACCAUAUGAAUAAGGAUCGGCUAACGCCGUGCCAGCAGCCGCGGUAAUACGGAGGAUCCGAGCGUUAUCCGGAUUUAUUGGGUUUAAAGGGAGCGUAGGUGGAUUGUUAAGUCAGUUGUGAAAGUUUGCGGCUCAACCGUAAAAUUGCAGUUGAAACUGGCAGUCUUGAGUACAGUAGAGGUGGGCGGAAUUCGUGGUGUAGCGGUGAAAUGCUUAGAUAUCACGAAGAACUCCGAUUGCGAAGGCAGUUCACUGGACUGCAACUGACACUGAGGCUCGAAAGUGUGGGUAUCAAACAGGAUUAGAUACCCCUGUAGUC